AGAGUUUGAUCCUGGCUCAGGACGAACGCUGGCGGCACGCCUAACACAUGCAAGUCGAACGAAGCUAAUAGAGCUUGCUUUAUUAGCUUAGUGGCGGACGGGUGAGUAACACGUGAGCAACCUGCCUUAAAGAGGGGGACAACAGUUGGAAACGACUGCUAAUACCGCAUAAAGUUAUUUUAGGACAUCCUUAAAUAACCAAAGGAGCAAUCCGCUUUAAGAUGGGCUCGCGUCUGAUUAGCUAGUUGGUGAGGUAACGGCCCACCAAGGCGACGAUCAGUAGCCGGACUGAGAGGUUGAUCGGCCACAUUGGGACUGAGACACGGCCCAGACUCCUACGGGAGGCAGCAGUGGGGGAUAUUGGUCAAUGGGGGAAACCCUGAACCAGCGAUGCCGCGUGAGGGAAGAAGGUUUUCGGAUUGUAAACCUCUGUCAUCGGGGAAGAUAAUGACGGUACCCGAGAAGGAAGCCACGGCUAACUACGUGCCAGCAGCCGCGGUAAUACGUAGGUGGCGAGCGUUGUCCGGAAUUACUGGGUGUAAAGGGAGUGUAGGCGGGACUUCAAGUCAGGUGUGAAAUCUAUGGGCUCAACCCAUAGCGUGCACUUGAAACUGUAGUUCUUGAGUGAAGUAGAGGCAAGCGGAAUUCCUAGUGUAGCGGUAAAAUGCGUAGAUAUUAGGAGGAACACCAGUGGCGAAGGCGGCUUGCUGGGCUUUUACUGACGCUGAGGCUCGAAAGCGUGGGGAGCAAACAGGAUUAGAUACCCUGGUAGUCCACGCCGUAAACGAUGAUUACUAGGUGUGGGGGAGUUGACCUCUUCCGUGCCGGCGCUAACGCAAUAAGUAAUCCACCUGGGGAGUACGACCGCAAGGUUGAAACUCAAAGGAAUUGACGGGGGCCCGCACAAGCAGUGGAGUAUGUGGAUUAAUUCGAUGCAACGCGAAGAACCUUACCAGGUCUUGACAUCAAGUGACCGCCUUGGAAACAAGGCUUUCCCUUCGGGGACACAAAGACAGGUGGUGCAUGGUUGUCGUCAGCUCGUGUCGUGAGAUGUUGGGUUAAGUCCCGCAACGAGCGCAACCCCUAUCAUUAGUUGCUACAUUAAGUUGAGCACUCUAAUGAGACUGCCGUUGACAAAACGGAGGAAGGUGGGGAUGAUGUCAAAUCAUCAUGCCCUUUAUGAUCUGGGCUUCACACGUACUACAAUGGUGAUUAACAAUGGGAAGCAAUACAGCGAUGUGGAGCAAAUCCCCAAAAAUCAUCUCAGUUCGGAUUGCAGGCUGAAACUCGCCUGCAUGAAGUCGGAAUUGCUAGUAAUCGCAGAUCAGCAUGCUGCGGUGAAUACGUUCCCGGGCCUUGUACACACCGCCCGUCAAACCAUGAGAGUUGGCAACACCCGAAGCCUGUAGUCUAACCGCAAGGAGGACGCAGUCGAAGGUGGGGUCGAUGAUUGGGGUUAAGUCGUAACAAGGUAGCCGUAUCGGAAGGUGCGGCUG
rnacentral:rRNA from 1 species